AGGCUCCUGACAUAUGGCGAAUUUUCUAAGAUCUUUCUUUUCUCCACCUAACCACCCUCUCUUUACUACUACGAAACUCUCUUCUUCUUAUCCCCAUUUUCCUCCACACUCUUCUAUGCUCAAAGCACUUCUCCACUAUUCAGCUACCCGUACUGUUAAGUUCUCCUCGUUGAUACGGAGAGACUGCCCUUGUCCAAGCUCCUUCUUGGCCUCAUUUUGUCGGCCUUUACCUUUCUUGAUCGUUUUCCCUCGCUCUGUCGUUGCUUGUUUUCACAGGCACACGGUCGUCGCUAUGGCUGAACGUCCUACAGAAACCACGUCCACUUCUCACAAGUACACCAAUCGUCUUGCUGCUGAGCACAGCCCUUAUCUCCUCCAACAUGCCCAUAACCCGGUUGAUUGGUAUCCGUGGGGGGAAGAAGCUUUCGCUGAAGCGCGCAAAAGAGACGUGCCCAUCUUUUUAUCGAGUAAUUCAUAUUUCUCUCUUGCUUCUUGUGUUUUAAUAAUUUGGGAAAUUGAUAGCUAAUAUGAAUCAUUUUUUUGUUAUUUGUUUAUGGGUUCUCUGGUGCUUUCUCUUUGAAGUUGGAUACAGCACCUGCCAUUGGUGUCAUGUUAUGGAGGUGGAAUCUUUUGAGGAUGAAGGAGUCGCCAAAUUGUUGAAUGAUUGGUUUGUUAGUAUUAAGGUCGAUCGAGAGGAAAGACCCGACGUUGAUAAGGUUUAUAUGACAUUCGUGCAAGCAUUAUAUGGUGGUGGAGGAUGGCCACUUAGCGUCUUCCUUUCACCUGAUUUGAAACCUUUGAUGGGUGGGACUUACUUCCCCCCAGAUGAUAAUUAUGGAAGACCAGGAUUUAAGACCAUACUCAGAAAGGUGAAGGAUGCUUGGGACAACAAGAGAGAUAUGCUUACUAAGAGUGGAGCCUUUGCUAUUGAGCAGCUAUCUGAAGCAUUAUCAGCAAGUGCAAGUACAAACAAAUUGCCAGAUGGACUUCCACAAAAUGCUUUGCAAUUAUGUGCAGAGCAAUUUUCUCAAAGUUAUGAUUCCAGGUAUGGUGGAUUUGGAUCUGCUCCAAAGUUUCCGAGACCAGUUGAGAUCCAACUGAUGCUUUACCAUUCAAAAAAAUUGGAGGAUACUGGGAAACAGGGUGAAGCAAAGGAAGGUCAGAAGAUGGUUUUCUUUAGCUUGCAAUGCAUGGCAAAAGGAGGCAUUCAUGAUCACAUUGGAGGUGGCUUUCACAGAUAUAGUGUGGAUGAACGAUGGCAUGUUCCUCAUUUUGAGAAAAUGCUGUAUGAUCAAGGGCAACUUGCUAAUGUUUACUCGGAUGCUUUCUCCAUUACCAAUGAUGUCUUCUAUUCACUUGUAUCCCGGGAUGUUCUUGAUUAUUUGAGGAGAGAGAUGAUAGGACCAGAGGGUGAAAUCUUUUCAGCAGAGGAUGCUGACAGUGCUGAGCAUGAAGGUGCUAAAGAGAAAAAGGAGGGAGCCUUUUAUGUAUGGACCAGUAAAGAGAUUGAUGACAUCCUUGGAGGGCAUGCAACACUUUUUAAGGAUCAUUAUUACAUAAAGCUGCUGGGAAAUUGUGACCUUUCUAGGAUGAGUGAUCCUCAUAAUGAAUUUAAGGGGAAAAAUGUGCUUAUUGAAUUAAAUGAUACCUCGGCAUUGGCAUCAAAACUUGGCUUGCCCAUCUCAAAAUAUCUUGAUAUUCUGGGUGAAUGUAAGCAAAAGCUUUUUGAUGUGAGAUCAAAACGUCCUAGGCCACAUUUGGAUGAUAAGGUAAUUGUAUCAUGGAAUGGGCUUGCAAUUUCAUCUUUUGCAAGAGCUUCUAAGAUUCUCAAGCGAGAAACUGAUGGCACAAAAUACCACUUUCCUAUUGUUGGCUGUGAUGUAAGAUUUUACCAUCUUUUAUCUGGUCUGUUUAAUCUAUAACUGGUUAUGUAACAAUAAUAUUUACAAUAUCUGGAAGAAAGUUCUCUGGUAGUACCAUCAUGCUCAUGGUUUGAUCAUACUUAUUAAUUUAUAGCCAUGUUCUGUGCAUCUGGCUUUUGAAGUUCUGCUUAUUCAUUCAAACAUUUUCUUCCUUUAUAUCAGUUUAAAACAUGGAAUGAGAGCUUAAUGAUGAACUAAUUAGUUCUACAUCCUCAUUAACCAUUAUCAAUUGGAAAAUUAUAUUUGCCUAUGAUUGUUGGUGCAAUCCUAGCUUGGGCAGCAAGUUUUGCGUUUGUAAACAACUCAUUUUCCCAAAACUUGUUUAAACAAGCCCCUAUCUCUACAAGUUCUGCGCAUGAAAUCAUUGUUUUUGGAGGCCAUUUUGAUGCACUGGAGAAUUUUCUUUCUGUUGUUGAUUACACUCAUUCUACACUAGACCCGUUAGGGGUAUGAGGCCUUUGUCUGGACUUAAUUCUCUGAAAAUUAGGCUUUUGCCGCUUGUAUAUGUGAAAUUUGAACUGAACUCAAAAUCUUUGGAUGAUAUGUUGUAUUGUUGUUACAUUCUGAUCAUUCUGCAUGUUCAACUCUGCAAAUUCCAGCCCAAGGAGUACUUAGAAGUCGCAGAGAAGGCAGCAACAUUUAUCAGAAGACAUCUUUAUAAUGAACAAACAUGCAGGCUACAGCACAGCUUUAGGAAUGGUCCAUCUAAAGCACCUGGGUUCUUGGAUGAUUACGCUUUUCUUAUUUCUGGGCUGCUGGAUCUUUACGAGUUUGGUGGUGGAAUCUACUGGCUAGUGUGGGCAACUGAAUUACAGAAUACACAGGUAAAAGCUGCCAGUGUUCAUUUCUCCAUGUUAAAUAGCAGUUGAUAAAUGGCAUGUAAUUGCAAAUUUGGUUGGUAACAUAUUUCCAGGAUGAAAUAUUUCUUGAUAGAGAGGGAGGAGGCUAUUUUAAUACCCCAGGGGAAGACCCUUCAGUUCUCCUCCGAGUAAAGGAGGAUCACGAUGGAGCAGAGCCCUCUGGAAACUCUGUUUCUGCAAUUAAUCUUAUAAGAUUGGCUUCUAUGGUGGCUGGGAGUAAAUCUGAUUAUUACAGGCAGAAUGCAGAGCAUCUGCUGGCGGUUUUCGAGACAAGACUAAAAGACAUGGCUAUGGCAGUUCCUUUGAUGUGUUGUGCAGCAGACUUGAUCUCUGUGCCUUCCCGGAAGCAAGUUGUCUUAGUUGGCCACAGGGAGUCCUUGGAGUUUGAUAAUAUGCUGGCUGCUGCUCAUACAUUAUAUGAUCCCAACAAAACAGUAAUUCAUAUAGAUCCCACUAAAAAUGAAGAAAUGGAAAUUUGGGAAGACAAUAAUAGCAACAUAGCACUCAUGGCAAAGAAUAAUUUUGUUCCAGAUAAGGUGGUGGCUCUGGUCUGUCAAAACUUCACUUGUAGCCCUCCAGUCACCGACCCUAAAGAUCUGGAAGCUUUGCUUUCCAAGAAACCUGCAGCUGUAUGAAGAUCCGAUUGGUACAAGUAUCAAUGGAAAUUGUAGGCAGAUGUUUAUGGUCAUUCUCUCUAGUUGGAAGUAAUGAUGGGGCUAGGGGAUAGAAUUGAUGUAGAUCAUGUACUGUAGUUGAGGUAACUUGGCAGUCCUUUAAUUAAGCAGUAAGUGAUGUGGUUUUGAUUUGAUUUGUGAUAAGUAAGUCCAUAUAGUUCACGUUUUAUAUGUUAACAGAAAUUCUAAUAAGAAUUUAAAAUUUUUUUAUUAUGA
rnacentral:misc_RNA from 1 species